AACGGACGCUGGCGGCAUGCCUAACACAUGCAAGUCGAACGAGACCUUCGGGUCUAGUGGCGCACGGGUGCGUAACGCGUGGGAACCUGCCCUUAGGUUCGGAAUAACUCCCCGAAAGGGGUGCUAAUACCGGAUAAUGUCUUCGGACCAAAGAUUUAUCGCCUUUGGAUGGGCCCGCGUUGGAUUAGCUAGUUGGUAGGGUAAAAGCCUACCAAGGCGACGAUCCAUAGCUGGUCUGAGAGGAUGAUCAGCCACACUGGGACUGAGACACGGCCCAGACUCCUACGGGAGGGAGCAGUGGGGAAUAUUGGACAAUGGGCGAAAGCCUGAUCCAGCAAUGCCGCGUGAGUGAUGAAGGCCUUAGGGUUGUAAAGCUCUUUUACCCGGGAUGAUAAUGACAGUACCGGGAGAAUAAGCUCCGGCUAACUCCGUG
rnacentral:rRNA from 1 species